rnacentral:rRNA from 1 species
UUGCAUCAUGAUUUACAUUUGAGUGAGUGGCGAACUGGUGAGUAACACGUGGGAAACCUGCCCAGAAGCGGGGGAUAACACCUGGAAACAGAUGCUAAUACCGCAUAACAACUUGGACCGCAUGGUCCGAGCUUGAAAGAUGGCUUCGGCUAUCACUUUUGGAUGGUCCCGCGGCGUAUUAGCUAGAUGGUGGGGUAACGGCUCACCAUGGCAAUGAUACGUAGCCGACCUGAGAGGGUAAUCGGCCACAUUGGGACUGAGACACGGCCCAAACUCCUACGGGAGGCAGCAGUAGGGAAUCUUCCACAAUGGACGAAAGUCUGAUGGAGCAACGCCGCGUGAGUGAAGAAGGGUUUCGGCUCGUAAAACUCUGUUGUUAAAGAAGAACAUAUCUGAGAGUAACUGUUCAGGUAUUGACGGUAUUUAACCAGAAAGCCACGGCUAACUACGUGCCAGCAGCCGCGGUAAUACGUAGGUGGCAAGCGUUGUCCGGAUUUAUUGGGCGUAAAGCGAGCGCAGGCGGUUUUUUAAGUCUGAUGUGAAAGCCUUCGGCUCAACCGAAGAAGUGCAUCGGAAACUGGGAAACUUGAGUGCAGAAGAGGACAGUGGAACUCCAUGUGUAGCGGUGAAAUGCGUAGAUAUAUGGAAGAACACCAGUGGCGAAGGCGGCUGUCUGGUCUGUAACUGACGCUGAGGCUCGAAAGUAUGGGUAGCAAACAGGAUUAGAUACCCUGGUAGUCCAUACCGUAAACGAUGAAUGCUAAGUGUUGGAGGGUUUCCGCCCUUCAGUGCUGCAGCUAACGCAUUAAGCAUUCCGCCUGGGGAGUACGGCCGCAAGGCUGAAACUCAAAGGAAUUGACGGGGGCCCGCACAAGCGGUGGAGCAUGUGGUUUAAUUCGAAGCUACGCGAAGAACCUUACCAGGUCUUGACAUACUAUGCAAAUCUAAGAGAUUAGACGUUCCCUUCGGGGACAUGGAUACAGGUGGUGCAUGGUUGUCGUCAGCUCGUGUCGUGAGAUGUUGGGUUAAGUCCCGCAACGAGCGCAACCCUUAUUAUCAGUUGCCAGCAUUAAGUUGGGCACUCUGGUGAGACUGCCGGUGACAAACCGGAGGAAGGUGGGGAUGACGUCAAAUCAUCAUGCCCCUUAUGACCUGGGCUACACACGUGCUACAAUGGAUGGUACAACGAGUUGCGAACUCGCGAGAGUAAGCUAAUCUCUUAAAGCCAUUCUCAGUUCGGAUUGUAGGCUGCAACUCGCCUACAUGAAGUCGGAAUCGCUAGUAAUCGCGGAUCAGCAUGCCGCGGUGAAUACGUUCCCGGGCCUUGUACACACCGCCCGUCACACCAUGAGAGUUUGUAACACCCAAAGUCGGUGGGGUAACCUUUUAGGA